GAUGAACGCUAGCGGCGUGCUUAACACAUGCAAGUCGAACGAAGCACUUUAUUUGAUUUCCUUCGGGACUGAUUAUUUUGUGACUGAGUGGCGGACGGGUGAGUAACGCGUGGGUAACCUGCCUUGUACAGGGGGAUAACAGUUGGAAACGGCUGCUAAUACCGCAUAAGCGCACGGCAUCGCAUGAUGCAGUGUGAAAAACUCCGGUGGUAUAAGAUGGACCCGCGUUGGAUUAGCUAGUUGGUGAGGUAACGGCCUCCAAGGCGACGAUCCAUAGCCGACCUGAGAGGGUGACCGGCCACAUUGGGACUGAGACACGGCCCAAACUCCUACGGGAGGCAGCAGUGGGGAAUAUUGCACAAUGGGCGAAAGCCUGAUGCAGCGACGCCGCGUGAGCGAAGAAGUAUUUCGGUAUGUAAAGCUCUAUCAGCAGGGAAGAUAAUGACGGUACCUGACUAAGAAGCACCGGCUAAAUACGUGCCAG
rnacentral:rRNA from 1 species